rnacentral:tRNA from 1 species
GGUGGUUUAGCUCAGAGGUAGAGCACAUGCUUAGCAUGCAUGAGGUCCUGGGUUCGAUCCCAAGUACCUCCA